AUCUGCAGCUUGAACCAUUCAGCCACUAAAAGGGAUUCAACACUUGAGACAGAUUCAUCAGACAGUAAAGCCAUCUUUAGAUUGUUGCAGUAAAGGAGCUUCAAGAAUGUCUAACAAAGUUGUAUUGAUGAUGGCGUUUUGCAUGGCCUUGAUUGUCUUGGCAAACGGUGCAGCAUUGCAAGAAGAAAAGCGUGCACUCAGCUGCUAUUGUGGGGGAAUUGACCGCCCACCAUAUGGAGACCAUUGGGUCUUCCGAGGCACUUGUCCAAGUGGUUAUGGAUAUACUCGUUCAUGUCAAAAUGGCCUGAACGUGUGCUGCUUCCCUAGAUCAGGCUGAGAAUAUAUCGAGGCUUAUUUAAAGGUUAAAUCAAAUAGUAUAAGAAAUCAGUUUAACCUGACAGCUUGUAACCUCUCAAAAGGAAAAAAAUAAAUUAUGAUGAAACAGAUAACUACA